rfam:Clostridium sp. CAG:138 genomic scaffold, scf11
UCGGCAAAUGAAUAUCCGCCAUAGACAGUAGGUGCGCGGGCAAGAUGCUUUUGCAUCGUAUCCAAAGCUUAAUUUCCUGCCGAGGUAGAGCAAAAUAGUUUUUCCCGAUUGUUUCGGCAGCGAUUCAGCGGCGCAGACUGCCUGUGCUGCACCGAAUCAAAGCUUAUAAUGAUUGUUCGACUAUCCUCUGUCCCCCUGUCCUAUGGCAUGGGGGAUAUUUGUUUGAAACU